CCUACGGGGGGCAGCAGUGGGGAAUAUUGGACAAUGGGCGAAAGCCUGAUCCAGCCAUGCCGCGUGUGUGAAGAAGGCCUGCGGGUUGUAAAGCACUUUCAGUGGGGAAGAAAGCCUUGGGGCUAAUACCCUCGAGGAAGGACAUCACCCACAGAAGAAGCACCGGCUAACUCCGUGCCAGCAGCCGCGGUAAUACGGAGGGUGCGAGCGUUAAUCGGAAUUACUGGGCGUAAAGCGCGCGUAGGCGGUCUGAUAAGCCGGUUGUGAAAGCCCCGGGCUCAACCUGGGAACGGCAUCCGGAACUGUCAGGCUAGAGUGCAGGAGAGGAAGGUAGAAUUCCCGGUGUAGCGGUGAAAUGCGUAGAGAUCGGGAGGAAUACCAGUGGCGAAGGCGGCCUUCUGGACUGACACUGACGCUGAGGUGCGAAAGCGUGGGUAGCAAACAGGAUUAGAUACCCUGGUAGUC
rnacentral:rRNA from 1 species